CCUACGGGGGGCAGCAGGGGGGAAUAUUGGACAAUGGGGGCAACCCUGAUCCAGCCAUGCCGCGUGUGUGAAGAAGGCCCUCGGGUUGUAAAGCACUUUCAGUGAGGAAGAACGCCUGGUGGUUAAUACCCAUCAGGAAAGACAUCACUCACAGAAGAAGCACCGGCUAACUCCGUGCCAGCAGCCGCGGUAAUACGGAGGGUGCGAGCGUUAAUCGGAAUUACUGGGCGUAAAGCGCGCGUAGGUGGCUUGAUAAGCCGGUUGUGAAAGCCCCGGGCUCAACCUGGGAACGGCAUCCGGAACUGUCAAGCUAGAGUGCAGGAGAGGAAGGUAGAAUUCCCGGUGUAGCGGUGAAAUGCGUAGAGAUCGGGAGGAAUACCAGUGGCGAAGGCGGCCUUCUGGACUGACACUGACACUGAGGUGCGAAAGCGUGGGUAGCAAACAGGAUUAGAUACCCCUGUAGUC
rnacentral:rRNA from 1 species